rnacentral:rRNA from 1 species
CGCAUCUGUGCAUGCAGCAUAUCAAUAAGCGGAGGAAAAGAAACUAACAGGGAUUCCCUCAGUAACGGCGAGUGAAGCGGGAAGAGCUCAAAUUUGAAAUCUUGAAAGGUCACCUUUCACGAAUUGUAGUUUAAAGAAGUGUUUUCUGUUACGAUCGUAAUAUAAGUUCUUUGGAAUAGGACAUCACAGAGGGUGAGAAUCCCGUCUAUGAUUGCGAUUUGUAGCUUUGUGAUACACUUUCAAAGAGUCGGGUUGUUUGGGAAUGCAGCCCAAAACGGGAGGUAAAUUUCUUCUAAGGCUAAAUAUUGGCGAGAGACCGAUAGCGAACAAGUACCGUGAGGGAAAGAUGAAAAGAACUUUGAAAAGAGAGUUAAAUAGUACGUGAAAUUGUCAAAAGGGAAGCGUUUAACACCAGUGUUGUUUUCUGAAAAUCAACCUCUGUUAGCUUUAUGCAUGUUUGUUUAGACCUAAUCAGCUAUCUUGCAUGUUCUAUUGUUUGCAGUGGUGCACUUUUCAGUUUACAGGUCAACAUCAGUUUUUUUUACCGUAAAAAAGUUAAAGAAAGGUAGCUCAUGGCUCCGGUCGUGAGUGUUAUAGUCUUUUUCCUAUGCGGUAGGAGAGACUGAGGUCUGCAGUGUAGGCUAUUUGGCUAGAUACUCAGGUGCUAUGUGAUACCAUUUCAGUAAACAACUUGUUGAUUAUGUUUUGUCUAUUGCAUACUCGCUUGUACUAUCAUACCUACGCUUAGGAUGUUGACGAUCAGCUGAGCGCG